AUUGAACGCUGGCGGCAUGCUUUACACAUGCAAGUCGAGCGGUAACAGGGUGCUUGCACCGCUGACGAGUGGCGAACGGGUGAGUAAUGCGUCGGAACGUGCCGAGUAGUGGGGGAUAACGCAUCGAAAGGUGUGCUAAUACCGCAUACGUACUGAGGUAGAAAGUGGGGGACCUUCGGGCCUCACGCUAUUCGAGCGGCCGACGUCUGAUUAGCUAGUUGGUGAGGUAAAGGCUCACCAAGGCGACGAUCAGUAGCGGGUCUGAGAGGAUGAUCCGCCACACUGGGACUGAGACACGGCCCAGACUCCUACGGGAGGCAGCAGUGGGGAAUUUUGGACAAUGGGCGCAAGCCUGAUCCAGCCAUGCCGCGUGUCUGAAGAAGGCCUUCGGGUUGUAAGGGACUUUUGUCCGGGAGCAGAUACCCAGUGCUAAUAACGCUGGGGGCUGAGAGUACCGGAAGAAUAAGCACCGGCUAACUACGUGCCAGCCGCCGCCGUAACAC
rnacentral:rRNA from 1 species